UUUGUUCGUCUGGUGCUAUUCUUCGUCAUCGAUGUUCAGUUCACGUCACAGUCGGGUCCUAGACAAAUUGAAAUGAAAAUUGGAAACCGGUGUUCAGUUCUCGUGGCUCGUGUCAUUCUUGAAGCUUUGUGUAUAGUUCAAAUGAUUAGAAAAGUAACAAAGAAACUUCUCUACAGUUCAAAAUUUCAAUGUUAGAUUAAUGCAAUUGCAUUUGUUUUCAUUAAGAAGUUCAAUUGUUACACACUGAUUUUUUGGUAGGUAAAACCCAUUUUUUCCCUCAUCUUGGAAAUCCCUUAACCGUAAGGCCUAAAAUAUUUUAUAGCCGCGAAAGUGGAAUAAUUUAUGACUUAGAGGUUAAUUGUUUCUCACUUCCACGUAUCUACUCUAUGACUGGUUUGGCUGCUUGUAAUAACCAAGGUUACUUUUGACAAUUUCAACAUUUUAUUUAAUUGCACAAUUUUUAACUGAAGAUGUAAUUCAGCUACUGCAGUGUAAUUAACUAAUUAUGCAAACAUUGCAAAUUUGCAAUCAAUUGACUUGGUCAUAAUCGAUCCAAUUUGUAAUCGAUUCACAAAAAAUCGGCCCGAUUAUAGUCAAUUAGUGUCUAUCGUCUAUCGCAGUUUACUGUUUAGCUUCAACCAGACAAGGACGAAGGAAUUUAUUUGGAACAACGUCUCUGCCAGUGGCCGCCAUGUGUGCACAUGACUAAGAAACUUAAUUUUGGUUAUUAUAGUUGCAUUUAAAAAAAAAAUGCUAAAGCGAUUAAUAUCACGUGAAUCAUUUGGACUAUUAUGUGGAAAACCUUGAUAUGAAUCAAUUCGUAUUGGAUAGUAUAAAGGGUCCUGUUGAGCUGGGAAAAGUUUCUUGGAAACUCGAAAUAAUAAACUAUCCUGGUCUCCCAAUAGCAAUUAAUGCUUGCUACAUUUUAAAAAUGUUUACUGAUCUUCCACCACCUAUGUUGCUUUCCAUGACAUGGGUACUUAAAGGAGUUGUACUUGGACCUAAAUCUGCUAGCAAAAAAGAUUAGAAAGAAAAUUUUCAAAGGAAUUUAAUGUGAGGAACUAAAAACUGCACUUUAUCUCACGGAAGGAAAAUGGAGGUCAGAGAAUGUGCAGAAUGAGUAUUGGUUAAUAUCACAUUUCUUUCCAACACCUACUUUGUUAUCUCUGGAGUAUGUUCAAUUACUGUUGUAUAAUUCCCAACAUAAAGGUAAGGUUUUAAAAUUUAUUUAUUAUGGUUUUUGAGAUAUUUUGUCUUUUGUGUUGAUGCUGGGUCUAGUUCAGUAUAGAAAUGUAGUAACCAGAGAGUAAACAGUAUGUGUUGAUGCAAUCACAGCUCAAACAUGCCAUGGGGAUUGGUCAGUUUGUGACCCAGAUACCAGUAUUUCUUCUGGCCAUCAUUUUCUGUUUAAAUUUGUGAAACUGGCAAUAUUUCCAAUUUACUGGCUACAGAAACUAACGUAUUUUCUAUUUUACCCUAGAAAGUUUUAUCCAUCAAGAAGCUGGAGCACUGCAGAAAUGAAGAAUUCUUCCUAACCCUGUGUGUACUUAUUCAAAGAAGGAUAAACACUUGUUACCUGCAACAAUGUUGAUAAUGAUGUCAUAAAACUUUGAAGUCUAGCAUUGUCAGUUGAUUUGUAGGUUGAAAUUCCGCAAAGGCUUUACACAUAUUCUACAGUUUAGUACUGACAGGUGACAUGUAAAGUUGAAUUUAUGUGUGGUGAUGACACAAACUUGUGGAGAUUUGCUGGCAAAAAGUCAAUCCCUUCAAUGGAAACAAUUUUAAAACUUUCUGCUAUCAGUGUGUUUUUGUUCCUCUUCCUCUCAAUGAACAACCAAACUUGAUGUUGCUCUUGUGAUGUAUCUGGAUUAUUGAAUCUUUUCAUUGCUAUUUUUUAAAUCCUUAAUGAUAUGAGUAUUUUCCUCAUAUCAUUAAGGGAUAACCUAACUUAAUGUUGCCUCGUGAUGGAUUUGGAUUAUUGGUAGGAAAAUGGAAAGCGUCACCAACUAUCUGAUCGCUCUCAUCUUCGGUACGGAGCUUUUAAAAAACCGUGUUGCACAAGAGCCCUUUCUGCAAGGCAGAGCUAAACUAAAAUUGCCUCGAGAAAGUGCAUGCCGAAUCAUCGUAUCUUUGUUUAAUUUCUUUUUAGUUUCGUGGAUCAUUCGUGUCUGUUAAGGAUUUCGGCAAAGAGCUGCUGGCGGAUAUCGCAACAAUUCUGAAACAUUCCACAUGAUUCCUCGACUGCAUCUGAUUGUCAGCGAUGUGGAUGAAAUCGUCAUUUCGCAAAACCAGCAAAGUGGGCCAAAGGUCAUCGGCUUUUCCGUUUAUCCUUUGCUUAAACUCACGGGUUCUGAUCUCAUCGAUCAAGCCUUUUUUUGUCAGAAGAUGAGUCAAUACCUCAAGUGAUAUUUUAUUGUUCCAAAAACUUUUGAAACGGGUAACGAAGGAUAUUUUACUCUACGCGUGUACAGCGCUCAGGCAAUU